rnacentral:misc_RNA from 1 species
GAUGAAGAACGUAGCGAAAUGCGAUAAGUAAUGUGAAUUGCAGAAUUCAGUGAAUCAUCGAGUCUUUGAACGCACAUUGCGCCCCCUGGUAUUCCGGGGGGCAUGCCUGUCCGAGCGUCAUUGCUGCCCUCAAGCACGGCUUGUGUGUUGGGCCCCGCCCCCCGGCGCCCGGGGGGCGGGCCCGAAAGGCAGCGGCGGCACCGCGUCCGGUCCUCGAGCGUAUGGGGCUUCGUCACCCGCUCCGUAGGCCCGGCCGGCGCCCGCCGGCGACCCCCCUCAAUCUUUUCAGGUUGACCUCGGAUCAGGUAGGGAUACCCGCUGAACUUAAGCAUAUCAAUAAGCGGAGGA